AAAUAAUUUUGGGAUGUUUUCUGUGAAAGUUUUAUAUUCACAGCAAGUGUUCGUUUUCAUUGUUUUGCUGGGAUGUUGUCUUGCUGGGGUGCAGUAGAAGGGGAGGGGAGUUAAGUGGGAUUUUCUGAGUUAAGUGGGAAUUUCUGAAAUAAUUCUGGGAUGUUUUCUGUGAAAUUUUUAUAUUUAGAAUAAGUGUUCGUUUUCAUUGUUUUGCUGGGAUGUUGUCUUGGUGGGGUGCAGCAGAAGGGGAGGG
rnacentral:lncRNA from 1 species